GGGCUGCAAUGUGUCCUCCCAGCGCCAAAUGCGCUGAGCCUGAAGGAUUACCUUGUCUCUGGUCUUUCUACUGAACUUUAAGGUCAUUAUGAAACGCCUAUACUUGAGAUUACAGAGAGGAUAGGUACCGCAAAUAGAUCCUGACCAUAACCCAAAGAACAACGACACCAGUUAUGAGAAGCUAUCUGAUCCUUCAUCGUACUGGUCAACACAGAGAAGGUGGGACAGUGAAAGUAUCAUCUGGAAAUUGGUCAGGGCCAGAUUAUAAACCUGUUUGCAACAUGAGGAAAGCUCCUCUGGAUAUGAG